rnacentral:rRNA from 1 species
CAUGCAAGUCGAGGGGCAGCAGGGGUAGCAAUACCCGCUGGCGACCGGCAAACGGGUGCGGAACACGUACGCAACCUUCCUUCAAGCGGGGCAUAGCCCGGAGAAAUCCGGAUUAAUACCCCAUAGGAUUGUGGAUCGGCAUCGAUCAGCAAUUAAAGAUUUAUCACUUGGAGAUGGGCGUGCGUCCGAUUAGGUAGUUGGUGAGGUAACGGCUCACCAAGCCGACGAUCAGUAACUGGCGUGAGAGCGCGACCAGUCACACGGGCACUGAGACACGGGCCCGACUCCUACGGGAGGCAGCAGUAAGGAAUAUUGGUCAAUGGACGCAAGUCUGAACCAGCCAUGCCGCGUGGAGGAUGAAGGUCCUCUGGAUUGUAAACUUCUUUUAUCGGAGAAGAAACCCAAGCAUUCUUGUUUGGUUGACGGUACCCGAUGAAUAAGCACCGGCUAACUCCGUGCCAGCAGCCGCGGUAAUACGGAGGGUGCAAGCGUUAUCCGGAUUCACUGGGUUUAAAGGGAGCGUAGGUGGGAUGGUAAGUCAGUGGUGAAAUCUCCGGGCUUAACUCGGAAACUGCCGUUGAUACUAUCAUUCUUGAAUAUUGUGGAGGUAAGCGGAAUAUGUCAUGUAGCGGUGAAAUGCUUAGAUAUGACAUAGAACACCGAUAGCGAAAGGCAGCUUGCUACACAAUUAUUGACACUGA